rnacentral:rRNA from 1 species
AAAUUGAAGAGUUUGAUCAUGGCUCAGAUUGAACGCUGGCGGCAGGCCUAACACAUGCAAGUCGAGCGGAAACGACACUAACAAUCCUUCGGGUGMGUUAAUGGGCGUCGAGCGGCGGACGGGUGAGUAAUGCCUAGGAAAUUGCCUUGAUGUGGGGGAUAACCAUUGGAAACGAUGGCUAAUACCGCAUAAUGCCUACGGGCCAAAGAGGGGGAUCUUCGGACCUCUCGCGUCAAGAUAUGCCUAGGUGGGAUUAGCUAGUUGGUGAGGUAAUGGCUCACCAAGGCGACGAUCCCUAGCUGGUCUGAGAGGAUGAUCAGCCACACUGGAACUGAGACACGGUC